CAUGCUAUUUAAAGCUAUCUAGGGCUUUUAAAGCUCUGUUUACUGGUAUCUUUUCUAGGCUCUAUUUUUGGGUCCAGGCUCUUAACUUAGAUGAGGUCACCAAGAGAAGAGUGGAACCAAGAAUUAUCUUGGAUGGGGUCUUCUGAAGGAACAAUGCAAUGGGGUAAGUGCUGGAGUGAAGGAGUAAAACAGCUGCACAGAGGAACGCUCAACGGAUUCUGCUAGAAGGUACGAAGGAAGAGCUGGCACUGAAGUUUGAAGUUUAAGGCUCACAAACUAUCUGUUUAAUAAUUAGCUUUAGAACUUGGCCAGCAUUUGCCAGAGAACUCAUUCGUUGACGGAAGAAAGAAUCCACAAUUACAAACUGGGACGGGUCUCACUAAGUUGCCUAGACUGGUCUUAAACCUCUAGGGGUAAGCGAUCUUUCUGCCCUGGCCCCCCAAGUGCUGAGAUUAAAGGCCACAGUACCCAGUUUCAGGUCUCCAGGCUUUGGCUACGGCUUUACGCCCAUCCCAUUUCCUUGAACCUUCUAGAAGAGCUGGUACGAGCAACUCAAAAAGCUUCCUGAGUACAGUUCCAGUAUGAUGGCUGUCCUGGAAUAUGGAGUAAGCAGUGCUACAAACCCAACAAAAACUUCACCUCCGUGCACACUAUGAGCCCUCUCAAAGACUUGGGCUACAAUUCCUUGAGGGCUGCCCUGGCGAAGUUCUCACCCAUUCU